rnacentral:rRNA from 1 species
CCUACGGGGGGCUGCAGUGGGGAAUCUUGGACAAUGGGGGCAACCCUGAUCUAGCCAUGCCGCGUGAGUGAUGAAGGCCUUAGGGUCGUAAAGCUCUUUCGCCGGGGAAGAUAAUGACUGUACCCGGUAAAGAAACCCCGGCUAACUCCGUGCCAGCAGCCGCGGUAAUACGGAGGGGGUUAGCGUUGUUCGGAAUUACUGGGCGUAAAGCGCGCGUAGGCGGAUCGGAAAGUUGGGGGUGAAAUCCCGGGGCUCAACCCCGGAAUUGCCUUCAAAACUCCCGGUCUUGAGGUCGAGAGAGGUGAGUGGAAUUCCGAGUGUAGAGGUGAAAUUCGUAGAUAUUCGGAGGAACACCAGUGGCGAAGGCGGCUCACUGGCUCGAUACUGACGCUGAGGUGCGAAAGCGUGGGGAGCAAACAGGAUUAGAUACCCGGGUAGUC